rnacentral:rRNA from 1 species
GCUUGUCUCAAAGAUUAAGCCAUGCAUGUCUAAGUAUAAACAAAUCUAUACUGUGAAACUGCGAAUGGCUCAUUAUAUCAGUUAUAGUUUAUUUGAUGGUUCUUACUACUUGGAUAACCGUAGUAAUUCUAGAGCUAAUACAUGCAUCAACCCCCGACUUUUGAAGGGGUGUAUUUAUUAGAUUGAAACCAAUGCAGCUUCGGCUGGUAUUGUGUUGAGUCAUAAUAACUGUGCGGAUCGCUUUUUAAGCGAUAAAUCGAUUGAGUUUCUGCCCUAUCAGCUUUGGAUGGUAGGAUAUGGGCCUACCAUGGCGUUAACGGGUAACGGGGAAUUAGGGUUUGAUUCCGGAGAGGGAGCCUUAGAAACGGCUACCACAUCCAAGGAAGGCAGCAGG